rnacentral:snRNA from 1 species
GGAUGUGAGGGCCACUCGGUUACAAUAUCUACCACCCCAUUGAUCAUCAUUGAUCAUCAGGGUUGAGCUGGAUGAUCUAGCUGGCUAGACAGAUGUCCCCUCCCUCCCCCAGUGCAUCAUAUACACCUCACCAAAAGCUGCAUGCAUUGUAUUAGAGGACAUCCUUCCUGGAAAACAGAAGGACAUUCUUGCGUCAAGAGUUACAGAGCAGCUGUCCUUUGCCAGAAUCUCAGGACAAGCUCUGACAAAGCAAUGAUAAGAAUGAUAGAUGUGAACAAGAAAAAGAAUAUGAACAGAGUUAGGAAGAGGAUUAUCAGGUGAUCAUGAAGGUCUUUGACCAUUCCUU